GAUGAACGCUGGCGGCGUGCUUAACACAUGCAAGUCGAACGAAGACAUCUGAGUGCUUGCACUUGGAUGGACUGAGUGGCGGACGGGUGAGUAACGCGUGGGUAACCUGCCUUAUACAGGGGGAUAACAGUUGGAAACGACUGCUAAUACCGCAUAAGCGCACGGUAUCGCAUGAUACAGUGUGAAAAACUCCGGUGGUAUAAGAUGGACCCGCGUCUGAUUAGCCAGUUGGCAGGGUAACGGCCUACCAAAGCGACGAUCAGUAGCCGGCCUGAGAGGGUGAACGGCCACAUUGGGACUGAGACACGGCCCAAACUCCUACGGGAGGCAGCAGUGGGGAAUAUUGCACAAUGGGGGAAACCCUGAUGCAGCGACGCCGCGUGAGUGAUGAAGUAUUUCGGUAUGUAAAACUCUAUCAGCAGGGAAGAUAAUGACGGUACCUGACUAAGAAGCACCGGCUAAAUACGUG
rnacentral:rRNA from 1 species